rnacentral:rRNA from 1 species
CGGCGGCCGUAACUAUAACGGUCCUAAGGUAGCGAAAUUCCUUGUCGGGUAAGUUCCGACCUGCACGAAUGGCGUAAUGAUGGCCAGGCUGUCUCCACCCGAGACUCAGUGAAAUUGAACUCGCUGUGAAGAUGCAGUGUACCCGCGGCAAGACGGAAAGACCCCGUGAACCUUUACUAUAGCUUGACACUGAACAUUGAGCCUUGAUGUGUAGGAUAGGUGGGAGGCUUUGAAGUGUGGACGCCAGUCUGCAUGGAGCCGACCUUGAAAUACCACCCUUUAAUGUUUGAUGUUCUAACGUUGACCCGUAAUCCGGGUUGCGGACAGUGUCUGGUGGGUAGUUUGACUGGGGCGGUCUCCUCCUAAAGAGUAACGGAGGAGCACGAAGGUUGGCUAAUCCUGGUCGGACAUCAGGAGGUUAGUGCAAUGGCAUAAGCCAGCUUGACUGCGAGCGUGACGGCGCGAGCAGGUGCGAAAGCAGGUCAUAGUGAUCCGGUGGUUCUGAAUGGAAGGGCCAUCGCUCAACGGAUAAAAGGUACUCCGGGGAUAACAGGCUGAUACCGCCCAAGAGUUCAUAUCGACGGCGGUGUUUGGCACCUCGAUGUCGGCUCAUCACAUCCUGGGGCUGAAGUAGGUCCCAAGGGUAUGGCUGUUCGCCAUUUAAAGUGGUACGCGAGCUGGGUUUAGAACGUCGUGAGACAGUUCGGUCCCUAUCUGCCGUGGGCGCUGGAGAACUGAGGGGGGCUGCUCCUAGUACGAGAGGACCGGAGUGGACGCAUCACUGGUGUUCGGGUUGUCAUGCCAAUGGCACUGCCCGGUAGCUAAAUGCGGAAGAGAUAAGUGCUGAAAGCAUCUAAGCACGAAACUUGCCCCGAGAUGAGUUCUCCCUGACUCCUUGAGAGUCCUGAAGGAACGUUGAAGACGACGACGUUGAUAGGCCGGGUGUGUAAGCGCAGCGAUGCGUUGAGCUAACCGGUACUAAUGAACCGUGAGGCUUAACCUU